AAGUCGUAACAAGGUUUUCCUUCCGGUUAGAGAUUUUAACUAUUGAAGCCUUACACAGCGACUCUAAACAAACUGUGCAGUCUUACCUAGGUAAAGACAAUACCGCUGAAAUGCUGUGAUCACGUAAGUGUACCAGCAGCCUAUUCUCUAGGCCCACAGAUCAAGUGGCGGUGGUCGAUGGUUUAAAAAACACCAUGGACUAUAAUAUGACCGGUUCUAACUUCAACGGUUAAGAAUUCAACGUUCCGUAGGUGAACCUGCGGAAGGAUCAUUAAUGAGUUAGGGUCUUCUAGGCCCGAUCUCCAACCCCUUUGUAUAAUUACCAUGUUGCUUUGGCGGGCCCGUCUUUAACCGGACCGUCGGGGGUUUUAACCCCUGGCCAGUGCUCGUCAGUAGCCCACAAUAAAACUCUUUAAUCAAUGUUAAAUCUGAAAUUAGUUAAAUAAACUAAAA
rnacentral:misc_RNA from 1 species